rnacentral:rRNA from 1 species
CUGAAUAACUCAGCUGAUCGCACAGUCUUAGUACUGGCGACGUAUCUUUCAAGUGUCUGCCUUAUCAACUUUCGAUGGUAGUUUACACGCCUACCAUGGUUGUAACGGGUAACGGAGAAUAAGGGUUCGACUCCGGAGAGGGAGCCUGAGAAACGGCUACCACAUCCAAGGAAGGCAGCAGGCGCGCAAAUUACCCACUCUCAGAACGAGGAGGUAGUGACGAAAAAUAACGAGACGGUUCUCUAUGAGGUCCGUCAUCGGAAUGGGUACAAUUUAAACCCUUUAACGAGGAUCUAUUGGAGGGCAAGUCUGGUGCCAGCAGCCGCGGUAAUUCCAGCUCCAAUAGCGUAUAUUAAAGUUGUUGCGGGUUAAAAAG